UACGUUUCGUCGUCGUACCCUUCACCCGUUCGUCGUCCCGCAAACCGUGCCUCCCGAAAAAAACGAUUCGUCCAUACCCUUCGCCCGUUCGUCGCUCGGUCGCCGUCCCUCUCCCUGUCUCCCAUCUGCACGCCGCCCCUCUCGCCGCCACACCUGACCCAACCGCCAACUUUCCCACACCGCCGCUCGAGCCCUAGGACACCUCCACACCGUCUACCAUGAAUGGCUGGCUUGUUCCCGCCCGGCGACCUGCCUGAGGACCAGAUCGAUGGCUGGGGGCGCCAGAUCGAUGGGCGACGGGGCGUGAUGAAGACAAUACAAGAAGCGCGCAACAACGGUGGCCGGAUCAAAGCACGUUGGCGGUGGAGCUGAAGGACGGGUAGCUCCGGCACCAGUAUCAGGUCCUGAUCCUGCUCCUCCUACGGUUUCCCACCGCUUCCAUGCCUGAUCCUGCCACGCACCACCUCGAUUCGCGCCGCCGCCAUGCCUUUGCAGAUCGGAUCUCGCGGUGUGGUUUCAUCCUAGGAGACGAGAGGGAGGAGGGCCAGCCCAAUUCCGGGCAUAUUGGCGUUGAUCGGACUGGAGAUCCUCCAAAUCUGGACCUGGGUUGAUUUGGUUUUUCGGUUGCAGCUAAUAGUAAUUCCAAUUCUUCCUCCAAUCGCUUGUGAGGAGAUACUACUUAUAGUCGGGCAAUCAGGAGGAUGCGCUCAUGUAAGAGCAUUUGCUAAUUCUUUUUGUUAUUUACUUGUUGACUAUUGUAGCACCCUGUGUUUUCAGAUGCUGAAUAAAUAUUGAUUUGUUUUACUGAAUAUAGCUUAAUACAAGUCUGUUUAAGAGCGAGCUGUUGUCGAGGAUUAGAGUGAGUUCUGUUUCACGCCUUAGUUGCACCUAUUGUUUUAUCAUUUGUAUUUCCACUUCCAUUAGUCUGACUCUGCAGAUUAAAAGCUUCGGUCUUUUUACGGGAAAAGGUCUUCUGGCUAAUCCUUUUCACUUUUGAGCUUAAUUUUCAGGAAAUUGAUCCCAAUGGAGAAAAUGACGAUUUUGGAUAUUUGAUGAAAUGCUGAAGCUAUAACCUCCAGUUUAUUGUUCAUUUUCUUCCCUCCGCAAAAGAAGUUCCUUAUUUAGCCCAUUUCUCAAUUUCCAAUAACUAUUGGAGUAAUGUUUUUCUCUUACUGCAGCUACUGUACAUCAUCCAAUGUUCUCGAAUACAUGGUCUCUGUGCCUUCUGGUGGAGCGCUAAUAUGAGCAUGGCUUGGUGCUUGGGCUAUUCCUCUUGUCUGGGAGAGACCAGGUCAGAUCACAGUUGGUUCUGAUUAUUUUUUUCAAUCAGAUCACAGUUUGUUCUGCUCAAAUGCAGCUAGAUCAUUUAGAAGAAACCUUAAACCUCUGAGCACCUGCCAACUCUGUGGGAUUGCAGUCGAAGACGCUCGCCAUGCCACGGUGAACUGCACCAAAGGUGCCAGCGUGCGUCAGGCUAUGCGUGAUCACUGGCCAAUUCUUAUUGAAGAGGCUAGACUGGCUCCUCGUGUUACUGAGCAGCACUGAUGUCUGCAUCAGGGGCUAAAAUCCUGCUGAUCCUUUAGCGCGCAUGGCACCUGAGAAAGGAUGUCAUGCAAAAUUCAGGUAAGGAAAGAAUUGCAAAGUCCGUAACUUUCUUACGGACCUAUGUCAAUGGGCAAGAGCUUAGGACUAUGCCCGAAGACGAUGUCAAAUGAAAAUGGCCACUCCUGAUGACGCCUGCAAAGGAGACCGUCGACCUCAGGGCUCCUCAGAUUAAUUCGUGGAAGCCACCGCCACCAGGGUGCUCAAGACCAACACGGAUGCCUCGUUCUUGGGGAACAACAUACCAAGUGGUGUGUAUGCCGUUGGCAGGGAUCAUGAGGAUCAGCUUGCUCUCCGAUGCUGAAGCUAAAGCUGCCCUAAUAGGCAUCAGGAUGCUGUCCGGACAUGGGCAUGUGAAGAUCGUCAUCGAGUUGGACUGCACAAAUGCUGCUAAAGUGUUGCUGCGUUCAUCGACGGCUGACAGAUCUAAGCAGUGGGCACCAUAUGACGAAGCAAGACGCUGCUGAUGAAUUUCGAUGACCACAGUGUUGGCCAUGUUCGACAAAAGAGCAACUACGUUGUUGAUUCCGUAUCUAAAAUGGCUAGAUCGGCCGGUAGCUGCAUUUGGACUGAUCACUUCCCAUGUGUUGUUUGGGAUUUUGUAACACGUGACAUCAACUCGAGUGUUACCAUGAUAAUAUAAGGGCUCUCUCUACUCAAAAAAGAAAACAUGCAAAUGAUGCCGAAGACAACGUCCCUAAUAUUUUCAAA